UUCUCGGCAGAUGCGUUGGUUGAGGUCAAGCCGGGCGAGAUCGGCAUGGUCUCUGGGAUCCCCGAAGAGCAUCUUCGUAGAAGAGUGGUGAUUUACACACCUGCUAGAACUGCUACUCAACAAGGAUCUGGAAAAAUUGGAAGGUGGAAGAUCAAUUUUAUGUCAACACAAAAGUAGGAAAAUCCAUUGAUGGGUUGGACAUCCACAGGGGAUCUAUAUGCCAAUGUUGGUGAUGCAGGAUUGAGUUUUGACAGCGAAGAGGCUGCAAGAGAAUUUGCUGAGAGACAUGGUUGGGAAUAUGUGGUGAGAAAGCCCCACAGACCAUUGCUGAAUGUGAAGUCAUAUGCAGAACACUUUUAAGUGGAAGGGUCCUCCCAAAACAGAUGGAAACUGUUUAUGUUGUCUCACCUGGAUUGUUACCAUAAAAUAAGUCAUGGGACUGAGGGUUGAUUUCUUUUGCUGCACAUUCUCUGUAAAUGGCAGAAUGUAGCACUAUGUUGAAUUUGUUGAUUAUAAUAAAACGGGACAUGUGGAUUGUAACCCUUUGCUCCUUUUAUGAUUUCUACAGAGAAGACAUGGAGCAUUUGGUGUUCCCCUGAGAAAAAAAAAAUCAAUUAACAAUCAUAUGAACAAAACUCAGAAAAACAAAAUAAAUUAACAAUCAUAUGAACAAAACCCAAAAAAAUAAAAUAAAAUAACAAUCACAUGAACAAAAUAGAUGUAGCAAAAUUUACCCAUAUAGAUGCAGCACCACCACCACCACCACCACCAUCACUAGGCGAAUCAGAGCAGAGACGUAGCAGCAGCACCACUAGCCGAAUCAGAGCAGAGACGAAGCGGCAGCAGAAGCAGCCGUCGAUUCUCAAUUACAGCAGCAACAGAGCAGAGACGCAAUAGCAAUAGCACACGGAGCUGAGAUGCAGCAGCAACUUUCUCUCUCAACAUAGCAGCAGUAGCAGCUUUCUCUCUCAACGCAAUAGGCGAUUUUGCUUGAAGAACUAUGACAGUCAAUUGUUGAUGAAAUACAAGAGUAAUCACGAAGAGAGAGAGAGAGAGGGCUCUGCGAAUUUAGAUUGAAUCAUCUUUUUUGUUUUCGUUUUACUAGUACUACAGCUUCAGUCGGUUACCCAUUUUCCAACUGUUAAAUCUCAGCCGUUAACUACCUUUGUUCACAAUCUAAAGGGUCAUUCGCUAAGAGACAAAGAACUGGGGUAUCAAACCCAUGACGUAAGGUAGCU
rnacentral:lncRNA from 1 species